rnacentral:rRNA from 1 species
UACGUAGGGUGCGAGCGUUAAUCGGAAUUACUGGGCGUAAAGCGUGCGCAGGCGGUUCGUUGUGUCGGUGGUGAAAGCCCCGGGCUCAACCUGGGAAUGGCCAUGGAAACUGGCGAACUGGAGUGUGGCAGAGGGGGGUGGAACUCCGCGUGUAGCAGUGAAAUGCGUAGAGAUGCGGAGGAACACCGAUGGCGAAGGCAGCCCCCUGGGCUAGCACUGACGCUCAGGCACGAAAGCGUGGGGAGCAAACAGG